GAUGAACGCUGGCGGCGUGCCUAAUACGUGCAAGUCGAGCGAAUGGAUUAAGAGCUUGCUCUUAUGAAGUUAGCGGCGGACGGGUGAGUAACACGUGGGUAACCUGCCCAUAAGACUGGGAUAACUCCGGGAAACCGGGGCUAAUACCGGAUAACAUUUUGAACCGCAUGGUUCGAAAUUGAAAGGCGGUUUCGGCUGUCACUUAUGGAUGGACCAGCGUCGAAUUAGCUAGUUGGUGAGGUAACGGCUGACCAAGGCAACGAUGCGUAGCCGACCUGAGAGGGUGAUCGGCCACACUGGGACUGAGACACGGCCCAGACUCCUACGGGAGGCAGCAGUAGGGAAUCUUCCGCAAUGGACGAAAGUCUGACGGAGCAACGCCGCGUGAGUGAUGAAGGCUUUCGGGUCGUAAAACUCUGUUGUUAGGGAAGAACAAGUGCUAGUUGAAUAAGCUGGCACCUUGACGGUACCUAACCAGAAAGCCACGGCUAACUACGUGCCAGCAGCCGCCGUAA
rnacentral:rRNA from 1 species